GCUGCUCUGCCAUUUUAAUAAAUCCAGCAAUGUAAUUUGGCUGCAAUCAUACAGAGUGUUUAGUGGUUUAACUGUGACUGCACCGAGAAUGGCUCUAACUCUGCAAUUACAUGAUCUACUGUGUUAUUGACAAGAGGGAACCUGGAAUCGAGAAGAAAGCUGAAGAGGCGAAUGUAAUCUGUUGGAAUUUCUGAAAGCAGAGCACUCAAAAGAGAUCAAAGCAUGGAUGGCAGGUGAACACACUCAGAGGAAAGCACUAACUGCAUACCUGAGCUCACGGAAGCCUGUGAUUGGUUGACGUUGCACUGAUUGACAGGGGAGAGAGUAAUGUCAUCUCUCGCAGCCAGAGAACAGGGCCAGUUACGCUGUCUUGCACUCCCAGCCGCGGAUGGCUGAGGUAUCAUCAAGACCUUGUGAUCUCCUGAUGAUAAGGCAAAUGCUUUUCUAUUGCAUCACUCAAGAGCCUAUAAUGCUUUAGAAAUGAAAAAAAAAAUGUUUUUGUCCCUAUAUCAAGCCUGCUACACAAUACAUCAUCUACUGAUGAUCUAUUGUGAUUCUGUAAAUCACAAAGAACUAUAACUCAAAUGCUCAGAGUGAUGUUCUGUAUUUUAGCUCAGUGUUUUGCUGGGACAUUUUUGUGUACAAUAUCUCUUGAAUUCAAAAAAGUUGCUUCACACUCUUCAAUUCCUUCUGAAGGCUAAAAACAGUGAGAAACUGCUUAAGUGUCAUUUCUGAGCUUGUGUUUGUUUAUUCUUUGUACAGGAUAAAGAGUCCUUUGACAUACUGCACUCCAGCCAGCUCAGUCUUGGCUGGAAUAUGUGCACUCCAGUGUGUGCCUGUGUGUGUGUGUGCCUGUGUGCAUGAGUGUGUGUGUGUGCCAAUGUGUGUGCCCGUGUGUGUGUAUGUGUGUGUGUGUGUGUGUGCGCGCAUGUGAGUGCGUGUGUGUGCCAGUGUGUGUUCCCGUGUGUGUGUGUGUGUGUGUGUGUGUGUGUGUGAGUGUAUUGAGGUUAACAUGACAGCACUUCACUUUUUCUUGGCCAGGCAACACAGUCCAAGCAGCUGUAACUAACCUCUUUAACUGUUAGGAAGGACACCAAUGACUCUGACAAUGUUUUCUGCUUCCCAUAUGCUCUUUUCUUUUGUUCUUUCUUUCUUUUUUUGGACAUAAAAACACCUUUCCACAUUUUGGAUUCUGAACAUGCUGCGUUUUUUUAAACUUCUGAACUUCUGUAUUAACCAUUCAGAUUUCCCUGUUCAAUUAAUUACUAUUUACACUGUUGGGUAAACCCAUGGAUGUAUCCAGUGCAUAUUUUCAAAAUGUCCUCUGAGGAUGCUGUAAGGAUAUCUGUUAGUAAAACUCAGAAUUAAUGCAUUUUGUCUAAAGGUCUCAUUAAAAGUACAGUACUGCUGUUUUCCAUGAUUAGAACUGCAACCAAAACUAAGUUAUGCUAUCAUAGCUAGUCCUGCCAGAGUCCCUGCUUGCACUCUGCACACAGUGUACAUUGUCCUUAACCAUUACGUGACAAUAAGCAUACCUAAUAAUCUGUGUUUUUCUCUCUCUCCCUCUCCCUCCCUCUCCCUCUCCCUCUGUCGAGCUACGCAUGUUACUCCUGAGAUACCAGUGCUCCUGACCCCUUCUGCUCUCCGGACCUGCCUGAUCCAGCCUGAUGUCCUACUUCUGGUUGGAGUUCUCAUCUCUUGGAAACCGCUUGCUGCUGCUGAGGAUGGCCUCAUAUGGACAGCCUAAAGAUACAUGAGAUUUCUGUGGAUGGUAUCACUUAGAAACCAUGAAGAUGGCUUUGGACUGCAAUUGAUACAAACAGUUUUGCUACAGUGGCUUAGGACUACAACUGCUAUGAUAGCAUUAGGACUGCAAUUUGCCAUGAACAGUUUUGCACUCAAGUCUCAUCAGUUGAAAACUUCAACAAAAUAGACUACAUGUUGAAACUAUAAUGAAUUUCCUGGUUACGCAAUUGCACUUUUUGACCAUGUAGUACACAGUUAUAGAAGGGUCUUAUUAUUAGUUGCACUAUUCAUUGUCACCUAGACGAGGAUGUGUUCCCUUUUGAGUCUGGUUCCUCUCAAGGUUUCUUCCUCUUGUCAUCUCAGGGAGUUUUUCCUUGCCACCUUCGCCUCUGGCUUCCUCAUUAGAGAUAAAUUUAUACAUUUAAAAUUUAUAUCCUAAAUUUAUGUAUAUUUCUUUAAAAUUGCUCUGUGACAAUGUCCAUUAUUAAAAGUGCUAUACACAUAAAAUUGAAGUGAAUUGAGACCACAGAGAGGGCAGUUUUACUGGCCCUCACGACUACCUCCAUUCUGUAACAUUUCAGGGUUCCUUAGACAUUUACAUUAUCAUUUUCAUGCAGUAUUUUUCAAAGUUGUGGAGUAGACUGCUUCAUUAGGAACCCCAUUCUGAUAAUCAGAAGAUUGAAAAGUUGCAUUCUAAAGACAGUAGCAAUAAAUUUGGGUGCUGUUCUGGACAACUGACACUAUUUUCCAGCUCCUCAGCUAAAUCCUGAGAAAUCAGUGUGUUUGGUGUGGUAGAUGACUGGUGGCUUUACUGACAGAUUUGGAUCUUAAUUUUUUGGAUUGUACACAGUACCCUAUCCAAAAGCAGAGGCUACUAAAAACAAAUAAAUCAUAUAUUU